GAUGAACGCUGGCGGCGUGCCUAAUACAUGCAAGUCGAACGAAAAGAGAAGCUUGCUUCUCUUUUAGUGGCGAACGGGUGAGUAAUACAUAAGCAACCUACCUAUUUGACCGGGAUAACAGUUGGAAACGACUGCUAAUACCGGAUAGGUGCGCGGGGGACAUCCCCUGCACAUUAAAGCUGGGACACAGCACGAAUGGAUGGGCUUAUGGCGCAUUAGUUAGUUGGCGGGGUAACGGCCCACCAAGACGAUGAUGCGUAGCCGACCUGAGAGGGUGACCGGCCACACUGGGACUGAGACACGGCCCAGACUCCUACGGGAGGCAGCAGUAGGGAAUUUUCGGCAAUGGGCGCAAGCCUGACCGAGCAACGCCGCGUGAGUGAAGAAGGCCUUCGGGUUGUAAAGCUCUGUUGUAAGGGAAGAAUGGCCAAGAGAGGGAAUGCUCCUGGAGUGACGGUACCUUACCAGAAAGCCACGGCUAACUACGUGCCAGCCGCCGCGGUAAGAC
rnacentral:rRNA from 1 species